rnacentral:rRNA from 1 species
GGGUGAGUAACACGUGGGGUAACCUACCCUUCGGCGGGGGAUAACCAAGCGAAAGGCUUGGCUAAUACCGCAUACGUCUCUCAGGCCGCGAGGCCUGAGGGGGAAAGCGGCGCAAGUCGCACCGGAGGAUGGGCCCGCGGCCUAUUAGCUUGUUGGUGGGAUAAUGGCCUACCAAGGCUGCGAUAGGUAGCUGGUCUGGGAGGAUGAUCAGCCACACUGGGACUGAGACACGGCCCAG